AACGAACGCUGGCGGCAGGCUUAACACAUGCAAGUCGAGCGCCCCGCAAGGGGAGCGGCAGACGGGUGAGUAACACGUGGGGAUCUGCCCGAUGGUACGGAAUAAUUCCGGGAAACUGGGACUAAUACCGUAUGUGCCCGCAAGGGGAAAGAUUUAUCACCAUCGGAUGAACCCGCGUCAGAUUAGCUAGUUGGUGUUGUAGAGGCGCACCAAGGCGACGAUCUGUAGCUGGUCUGAGAGGAUGAUCAGCCACACUGGGACUGAGACACGGCCCAGACUACUACGGGAGGCAGCAGUGGGGAAUAUUGGACAAUGGGGGCAAGCCUGAUCCAGCCAUGCCGCGUGAGUGAUGAAGGCCUUAGGGUUGUAAAGCUCUUUCGCCGACGAAGAUAAUGACGGUAGUCGGAGAAGAAGCCCCGGCUAACUUCGUGCCAGCAGCCGCCGUAACAC
rnacentral:rRNA from 1 species